rnacentral:tRNA from 1 species
GAGAUGUUAGUCGAACAUCCACGGCACUGCCUUGUCAGGGCAGAAGUGCGAGUUAGACUCUCGUACAUCUUU